CAUGUGGACCCGCCUCGGUCUUCCCCUCCGGCCUCCGCGCAACCACAGCAAUGGCCAUGGUCUUCCCCUCCACGCAACCAGCAACCGCCAUGCCCCUCGGUCUUCCCCUCCGUCCUCUGCGCAACCGCCAUGGUCUUCCCCUCCGCGCAACCACAGCAACCGCCAUGCCCCUACCUCGCACCAUCCGCCAUGCCUUCGCCUCGCAGGAUCCGCCAUGCCAGCGUCUCGGCUUCUCCUCCGUUCAGCCGCCCGACCCGCCGCCUUCCCCUCCGCAAAACAGCCAUGUCCCCGCCUCGGCUAACCCUAUGCGCAGAUCCACAGCCGCCCGACCCGCCAGGACCUGCCUCUCCUUCCCCUCCGCGCUCAAACAACCAAGCCGAGCCGAGGAAAUGCGCCCACAAAUUUGGACGCUCCGCGCAGCCACACGAACUGCCAUGCAACCACCUCGCACGAUCCGUCAUGCCCCCGCCUCGCACGAUCCGCCGUGCCAGCGCCUCGGCUUCCCCUUCGUGCAACCGCCCGACCCGCCAGGACCCUGUCUCUCCUUCCCCUCCGCGCUCGGCUUGGCCCACAAAUUUGGAAAUGCACCCACAAAUUUGGAAGCCACGGCAAUGGCGCCCGAUUUGGCUAUGGCGUCGCUGAUUUGGAAAUCGCACAAUCUACGUCGCCGAUUUGGAAAGCACGAUCUCGGUACCGCAAUCACAACAACUAUCCCCCAAAUGUCGCGCCCACCCACGUCCAGCUGACUUAGGAGGGUCCAAGCAGGAGCCUACUCCUCAUUUGCCCCUGUUCAAAGGU